rnacentral:rRNA from 1 species
AACGAACGCUGGCGGCAGGCUUAACACAUGCAAGUCGAGCGCCCCGCGAGGGGAGCGGCAGACGGGUGAGUAACGCGUGGGAAUCUACCGUACCCUACGAAAUAGCUCCGGGAAACUGGAAUUAAUACCGUAUACGCCCUACGGGGAAAAGAUUUAUCGGGGUAUGAAGAGCCGGCGUUGGAUUAGCUGGGUGGUGGAGUAAAGGGCUACCAAGGCGAAGAGCCAUAGCUGGUCUGAGAGGAUGGUCAGCCACAUUGGGACUGAGACACGGACCAAAAUCGUACGGGAGGGAGCAGUGGGGAAUAUUGGACAAUGGGCGCAAGCGUGAUCCAUCCAUGGCGCGUGAGUGAUGAAGGUCUUAGGAUUGUAAAGCUCUUUCACCGAUGAAGAUAAUGACGGUAGUCGGAGAAGAAGCCCCGGCUAACUUCGUGCCAGCAGCCGCAGUAA